rnacentral:rRNA from 1 species
UACAGAGGUCCCAAGCGUUAUCCGGAAUUACUGGGCGUAAAGCGCACGCAGGCGGUUCGCCAAGUUUGGAGUGACAGUUGUCGGCUCAACCGACAAAGGACUUCAAAAACUGGUGAACUUGAGGACGAGAGAGGAACAUGGAACUCCAGGUGUAGUAGUGAAAUGCGUAGAUAUCUGGAAGAACACCAAUGGCGAAGGCAAUGUUCUGGCUCGUUUCUGACGCUCAGGUGCGAAAGCCAGGGGAGCGAACGGG